CUGGUUGUCCUCUGUUUGCAGAGCGGCCUCUGCUUGGUCUAGUGCCUCUAAAUUGCACAAUGGCAAGCCGAAGGGCACCCCCAGCUGAGGUCCCACUGGCGCUACAGCCUGGCCACACCUGCAGGACUGGUGGAAUUCUCGGAACUCCUGCCGCAGGUCCCUGACUUCUUUGGUCAGCUCACUUACAGCACUGAGGAGUACACUCGUCUUCGGACUGAAUGUCUGUUGUGUCACAGUCUCCGCUGAGAUACCUGGACAGCCAUUUGUUUGCCUCAGCAUGGUCACCUACAUUACAGUACAACAUCCAGACGUCUGAGUCAAACCCACCAUGGCUGCUGAGGACCUUCACAGGCUUAUGAAUCUGCCAUCCAGGCCUUGGCUGCUCCCUGUUUCGGAUGACUGAAUGGAGCUUAUUGGUGUCCUUGGGGUUGAGUGGGGGCCAGAACACCUCAUCCCCAUCAAUCCAAAUGCUUGGAAUAAUUUCUACAGCACCACUACUAAAUUUAACUAUGUACCAUUGUUUGUUUGUCCUCUCACUCAUCUUGAGGCAGACUAUUGAACACACAAGCAAAAAAAAAGGGAACCGAUUUCAUUAA